UUUUAUCCCAGAUAGAAGCGGUAUCUCCCGAAUUAGAAAAACAAGGCAUUGGCCGUAGUUUUUGUUAUCGGGAAUAUAGCGGAUAGCUGGAUAAGGC
rnacentral:sRNA from 1 species